rnacentral:pre_miRNA from 1 species
AUAGUACUCCCUCCAUUCGGAAUUACUUGUCGCAGAAAUAGAUGUAUCUACACGUAUUUUAGUUUUAGAUACAUUCAUUUUCGAGACAAGUAAUUUCGAACGAAGGGAGUAAUAG